AAACAUGUCUUUUUGAAAAUAAUUUAAAGUUUAAUCUGCCCCCUGAUNAAAUUAUUAAAGGGCUGCAGUAUUUUGACUGUACAAAGGUAGCAUAAUCAUUAGUUUUUUAAUUGGUGACUUGUAUGAAAGAUUGGAUGAAAUAUAUACUGUCUCUAUUUAAUUUAUAAAAUUUAAUUUUUUAGUAAAAAAGCUAAAAUGAAUUUAAAAGACGAGAAGACCCUAUAGAGUUUGAUAAUUUAUUUAAUUAUUAUUAAUAUAUAAAUUUUAAAAUUAAAAUUAAAUAAAUUAUUUUGUUGGGGUGAUAGAAAAAUUAAAUUAACUUUUUUUUUAUUUUAUACAUUAAUUUAUGAAUGAAUGAUCCAUUAAUAAUGAUUAAAAGAAAAAAUUACCUUAGGGACAACAGCGUAAUUUUUUUUUUUAGUUCAAAUAGGAAAAAAAGUU
rnacentral:rRNA from 1 species